rfam:Nicotiana attenuata strain TT chromosome 6, whole genome shotgun sequence.
UUUCCUUGAUGAUACAUUUGAAGGCUUGUUUUCUCAAAACAUUCGCAGUGGCCGCCUAAAUUUUUCGCCUUCGCCAGGCUUGAGAGAUAAUGCUGCUUUUAUCCUUCCUUGGAUGUCUGAGAUC